UCCUGCUAGUCUGAUAGGUCCACUUCAUAUGAGGGGAUCCAAGCUGAACCAUCUUAUAAAGCCACGUUCCCUUGGACUUUAUAUCAGCCAUGUACACUUCCUGAAUAAACGAGACUUGAUUGGAAUUGGUCAACUUGUCCUCGUCUCUCUUUCCUCUUGCCCAGCCCCCCAUCCCCGUACUCUCUCCAGGCGAGGCCCACAGACUGAUCUGCGGGCCGGAUCAAGUGGCCCCCAAUGUGGCGCUCGACCUGACACGAGAGAUUUCAAUGCGGGACCGUUCACGGGAGUAAACCGCUGGCCAGCGUGAUUGUUUUGGGACUUCGUCUCUGUGAUCUGUGCGGACGGCCACCUUAUGUUUCGCCUGAAUCACAGAGAAAAAGAAGAGGAAGAAAAAGAAGAAGAAGCAGAAAAACUACAACAAAAUUUCAAAGCACGUCCAUCAGGAUGGUACAUACAAUCAGGAUGGUACAACACACAUUGUGCAUCAUCACCCCCAAAUAAUUCACCAGAGCACAAGACAUUUGCGUUCAGAUGAACAGAACCAGCACAAAUCUCUUCCGUGAACUCAGAGAAAGCCAUAGAAUAGCUAACUUAACUGUUUUAUAUACACCAUCUACCUGCACACAUGCGUGUGUUCUGCUUUCAGCUUCUCACGCUCUCACAUGUGUGUCUUAUUUCUUUCACUAACAGAACACGUUUUGCAAAAACACAGUCCCCAGUAGAAUCUGAAAAGCUCCCGUCCUUGGACCUCUCAGCUCCUCUUGUAGAAACACGCUGCUGUCUGAGAUUCUCACACACGAGGACGCUCGAAGCUAUUGGAUCCCAGGCCGAUGAGGUGCUACCUCCCUAUGACUCUAACAACUUGGGAGGCCGAGGCAGAAGGAUCACAAGUUCAAGGCCACCCUGAGCAGCAUUGCUUUCUUUUUAGUGAGACCUUGUCUCAAACUAAAAAGGGCUGGGGCUGCAGCUCAGGGGUACAGUGCCCCUGGAUUCAAUCUGCUGAACUAAAAUAAUCAGUAUAGUACAGACACAGCAAAGUGCACUGACCUUUACUAUGAAAUCAAGAGGCCCCAGAUAUGCUGGUGCACACCUGUAAUCUCAUCUAUUGUGAGGCUGAAGCAGGAGGAUCCUCCAAGAGUUCAAGCUCAGCCUCUAUUACAUAGUGAAGACUGUCUCAAAAAAUGAAGACAGAUAGAAGGAAGCAGAGAGAGAGAGAGAGAGAGAGAGGAAGAAGAAGAAGGAGACAGCCCUUUUUCCAGAUCCUCUUGCAUAUCUUAGACAAAAACUUUUCUUCAUACAAUAAAUACUUCCUACUUUUAUGAAAGAAAGAAAAAAAGAAGAAAGAAAGAAAUUGAGUAAAAUGAACAUACCACAUAGCCAAACUUCCGGGACUCAGAAAAGCCGUCCUAGGGAGGAGCUGUAUAGCUGUGGAGGCCACGGUAAACAGGAAGUAAGGUCACAGAUCAACAGCUCUACAGCCAGUGCAGAGAGCCACAUUAAACCUGCAGCUCACACCAAAUCAUAAAGGCAAAACAGAAACUCGCAAAUUAACAGAGACAUGUGGUGACACAAGAAGAAGAGAUGGUUCUUUGACAAAAAGACUGGAGUUACUCAAGUCAGAAAUAAAAGUGAACAGGCCAGGUGUGGGGGGUCUGGCCCCUAACCCCGGCACCUGGGAGGCUGAGGCAGGAGGGUCACUGUGAGUUUGAGGCCACUCUGUACUGUCUGUCUCUCUGUGUGUCUGUGUGUAUGUCUGCCUCUCGCCCGAUCUCUCUCUCUCUCUCUCUCUCUCUCUCUCUCUCUCUCUCUCUCUCUCUCUCUCUCUUUCCUCCCCUUCCACUUCUCUUCUCUCCGCUCUUAGAGAGUCCACAUUAUGGUUCUACCUUGUGGGUUCCUUUUACAAUCAGAACCCGGGAAUAUGAAAGGUGAGAAGCAGGCUCGACCCCUACAGGUUGAACACUGCAAAAGGACCUCUCAUUCCAGCACACACUUUGUGGUGGCUGUUCAGUUUUCCAGCCAAAGGCCAUGAGGAGCCUGGCACUGGCACUGGGGAACCCAGUGUGUUCUGCGUCCCGUCCAGCAGAGGGCAGCAGAGCGGCACCUGCAGCCCGGACUCACCUGGCCGGGGUCUGUGCAGUCCAGCAGCUUGCACCAGCUUAUGGAGUUACCCCUUCCGUACGCUAUGCCCACAUUGUUCACUGCGCGAGAGGUUGCACGGCAUCCCUCACGACUCAGGGACACGGGAUCGGCACAGGAGGGAACCCGGCGCGCUCCGGGUGUGCAAAGCAGGCAGGUGACUCACCCAGGACUCCGAUCUCCAGGCCCUGCAGGCCUGCCUCGAUAGCAUCAUAGAUCUCCAAGCCCCCGGUGAAGUUGGCCUGGAUCACGCGCGUGGACCUGCCAUGCAGGCGCUCUGGGGGAUUGCAGGGGUCAGGCUCUGCCCCUGCCCUGUCCCUGCCUGGCCACAGUGUUCCCAGCUGCAGCCUCAGGCCAUCAGGUCCACCCCUGACCCCAGCCCAGGGAGCCCAGGGCUUCCCCACAGGCUGUGCACUCACCAAUCUCCCUGGCCUCCUCUUCCAACUUGCUGAGGCUUCUACUGAUGAGGAGGAUGUCCAGCCCCCUCCUGGCCAGCUGCGGAAAUUCAGUCACUUACUCAGCUCUGCAGGCCUGCAGCAGGAGCUGGGGUGAAGCAGGGCCUUCACACUGAGCUCCACUGUCAGCCUUUUUCUUUCUUCAGACAAAACACCUCAGUCAUAAAGAACUGGUUUCAUCUUGGGAUCCUCCUGCCUCAGCCUCCCAGAAUACAGGAAUACGAGCUAUGCACAAUUACUCUGGCCUGUUUUUGACAUUUUGUCCUUCAUCCUGUAAAGCAGGGUUAACUUUUCCCUGUUCUUGAUGCUCCAGGUCAUAGGGUUGAACAGAAGAGAAAAGCACUGGGGGAGCAGAAGACACUUCCAGGGAGGGAAGCUCUGGGCACAGUGGGCAGACUGAGGUGACCUCUGUGUAGCAGCUCAAGGACUACCAGGGUCCCAGGCAGGCUCUGCCUCUCAGCACUUGGCUGCCUGAUCCCGUCUUUAUUCUCCCUCAUUCUUGUGUGCCUAGCGAGCACCUGUUCCCUCCUGGGGGACUGGGGACUCAUAGUGCCUGGGGCACCUUGGGUUCAGCCCCUGCCACACACUCUCCAACCCACCACCGAGGUCCCUGCAAAGGCUGAAUCAACCGUGCCCCUCUGCAGACCAGAACCUGCCUUGGCUUCCCAGGGACCCUGCCACAAACCCACAAACCCGUUUUCUUCACCUGGACCUGUUGCCGUGUCCUGUGAAAGGCCAGGCACAGCCCUGACUCCUGGGGUCCCACCCAGCAGCCCCUGCCUUUUCUGCUCCUGGGCCUUUGCACCUUCUAGUCCUUCUGCCCUGAAGCCCCGUCCACUUGAUGCUGAGCUAGAAAACACACGUGAUUGGGGAAGGGAUGUGCACUCAGUGGCUGUCUGUCCCUUUUAGCCUGGACGGUGAGGGUGACAUGAGAUGGGACUGAUGUCCCUCAGCUGUGAAGGAGGCUCUGCCCCGGGGUCUCAAGAGCUCCAUUUACUGAGAUGCUGAUGGUGCAAGAGCUUUCAUUCAUUCUUUCAUUCACUCAUCAAACACCUUGCCCAGCCCAUACUCUGUGACUGCCACCAGCAGGAAGGUCCCAGCCUUGCCUUGUGAGGCUCACAGUGCAGUGGCAGUGGGUGGCACAGAUUGGCCCCACACAGUGAUGGCGCAUGGUGGGUGCAGCUUCCAAGCAACCUGCAGAAUCUGUGCAUGUCUGGCUUACACCCUCCCACUGUAAUUCAAGGCCCCUCCAUUCUUGCCAGGUCCAGGACAUGCUCUAGCUUGUCUUCUCCCUGUGCACCAUAUUCUUCUGUCUGGGUUAUUCCCAUCAGCACAGGGACCUAACCUUUUCUUUGUUGUCACUCCGCAUUCCAACAAAAGGUCCUUCACCCUGAUUCUCCUCCUCUAAUAGGUCCCUACCACCGGGACUAGUUGCCACAUAGCCAGCCAUCUAGACAUUCAGAUGCUUCCGCAGCCAUGGGCCAAGGGGGCCUCGCUACUGCUCCACGAAGACUUCGGCAUCAUUUAUGUGCUGUGUGAUACAGGUGCAUGCAGAAGGAGAUCUGGGGUCCCUGAAGUUUUCAUCUAGACUUCAAAGGAAUGCCUGGGAGGCUAGACACUGAGUCCUAAAAGGGGAGUAUAUAAAGCAGUGGGGAGGGAGCCCGGAUCCAGGGAGUUGGAGCACCUCCCACAUAUGCGGGACAGGAUUGUGGGACAUCUUCCAAGGACAGCUGCAGACCCUGAGCAGGACCCAGCCUGAGAGAGAGGUUGUGUGGGCGGCAACCCACAAAGCCCUGGGCUGGGGCUGCACACAACCCCUUGAACUCACCUCUCAAAACCAUGAGCUCCAGACACCAGCUCUAGAGCCACAGGACUUAAGGUGUGUCCUGCUGGGAUUUGGUCUUGCUUUGGUCUGAUCUUCUGGGACCAGGUGCAAUGCGCAUAACUACCUUGAGACAUUGCGCGGUGAGAUUAUGUCACCUGUCCUUGACUUUUACAGUGAUUCACUGCUGAGUCUCAGAGGAGGCUUGGUUUUGGUUUUAUCAUCCUCGUUUGAAAUCACAUCUGGUUAGCAGUUCAGCCUGGCCUUGAACUCAGUACUUACUCUGGGCUGGCCUGAGAUUCCCAGGGGCCCUUGGGACUCAGCUUCCAGUGCUAGGGUUCUACACAUGUGCCAGCCUGUCCAGCUUUCAGCAGUCACCUUGGACUGGCACUUCUGAGAAACGCUAGGGCUGCUGAGACACUGGGGAAGGGACCACUGUGCUCUGGCUGAACACGGCAUAGUCCCCUGUGUGAGGUGAAAUUACUAAUUUAGGGCUGGGUUAUUUGGAGACAAGCAUGGUUUAAGGAGAUGAAUUUGGGCACCAGGUUUACUAGAGUGAAAUGUGGGAGUGAAAGUUAAUGAAGUCGCCUUAACUGUCCUGGGAGCCAUGUGAGGCACCUGUGUGGCACACUCCUGGGUGUGUCUGCACGGCCACCCAGUUGUGACUCCGCCCCGUAUCCAUCCCUGGCCCCUUGCUCUCUGGUGGGUGCUGUCCCCGUGCUCCGCUUCCCAGCCUAUGUGAACUAAGCAGCUCUGCUCUCCCAGGCCCUCCCACCACGCUGUCCCUGCUUUGGGGCCAGGCAGUCAUCCACUGACCCACAGGAAACCAGGAGCCAGCUGGGCACAGUGGUGCCCUCCUGACACCUCUGCACUCCGGAGGUGAAGCAGCAGACUCACAACAAGCUCAAAGGCCACCUGGGUCCCGAAGUAAAAUCAAGGCCACCCCAGGUUGAAUAAGGGAGCCCUGGCUCAAAAGAGAAAUGAGCAGGAAACCACAAAACUGAAAUCACAAGUCAAAAAAAUCUCUCCUCCUCUCAGCUCCGGGUGUCAGGAACGUGGUCCAUCAGUCACAGCGCUGACUAAUACAGUCAUGGGAGAGGAGCCCGAAGGUCAUUAAAUUAGGUGAGAUCAGCCAGGCACAGAAAAUCCAACACUGCAGGAUCUCAGUUCAGCGGGAGCUGAGCUUCUGGCCGUGGGGAAGGAGAGUGGUUAAUCGGGGCUGAGGCUGAGGAGAGAAGGGGACGUGUUGGGCAGCAGACAUGAAUCUCCAGUGACGAGGAAUACAUUCUCCAGUGUAUUCAGCGGGGUGACUGUAGUUAGUAGCAGCGUGCUGCAUUGUUGAGAAGAAGGGAGGUUAACUCUGGCCAUCACAAAGGGACAGACAGACACAGAGACAAGGACAGACAGAUCCACCAAUGUCAUUUACUAAGGAAAACUAUCACAAUCAUGCAUUAAGACGCCAAAAAAUUAGUUCACAAAAGUCAACCUCCAUUCCUUAAGGACAGCGUGAAAUACACAGCAAGACCCUUUCGCAAAAACAACCAACACAAUCAAAACAGAACAAUACAGAAUACUACAGAACAGAGCCGAACAACAAAAACAGAAGAGAUAACCUUGCUCCAAAUGCUGUUGCAUUUCUGUAACACCAGCCCUCAGGAGCUGAGGGAGGAGGAUCUCUGAGAGUUCAAGGCCAACUUGGGCUACAGAGUGAGUUCAAGGUCAGCCUGAGCUACACAGUGACUCAAAAAAAGGACAGAAACAAGGCUCCAUGAGAGACACAAAGAAACAAAACAAGGAAACACUAUCCACACAUGAGAUAUGGUUACAGAUAAGGUAUGAACAAAUCCCAGGCCAAGGAUGACAUUUGUAAAAAUGCCUUCCCCAGAGUGCCCCCCUGGCUGCCAGUACACUCACCCCAGCCUUCCCGCUGCUCUCUGAAGAGCCCUGGAGGUCCUCUCUCAUGGCUCUCAGGGUGUGAGGAGGAAUACAGUGACUGCCCCUCUGGGUGCCAUCCAGGGGAAAGGCAGACUCAGGGAGCCCUUGCCCUACUGCCUCAUCCACCCCAUUCACUGGAUCUGCCACCGUGGAACUCCUGGCUUCCCCCCAGUCACCAUCACCAAAUGCUCACCCUUUUGAGCUGCUUCAGCACACGGAGGCAGCCAGGACAGCACAGCUAACGCCACUCACAAAAGAGGACUCAGGCCUGCUUCACAAGCCUGAGAAUGAUGGGAUCCGUCCUCUUUCCUGAGUGUCUCCUUCUCCCUGACCACCACCUCUCACUCCAUGUGCCGGACCUUGCUUAUGCCCCUCUGCCCUGGCUGGAAGAUAAGCUCCAUGAGGGCAGGACUUGCACUCUUGCAAAAACUCUUUUGUGUUCACUGCUGCAUCCCCAGGCCCAGGAAGAUGCCUGGCACAGAGUAGGUGGUCAAUAAACAGGAUUUGAAGAAAUGAACCAGGCAAUAAUGAGAGGGAUGAGAGGGUGAGGGGGCACUUAGCUCUCCCCAGGCAGCUGGUGACAGGGAAAUCAGCACGGAAGCCACCACCCCACUCACCUCGUGUGCGUAGGCCUUGCCAAUGCCGCUGGUGGCUCCAGUCACCACUAGGAGAGAGAAGAGGGGGCAGGGGGUGGGCAGCUUCCCCACUGUGGGUCCUGUCGGGGUCCUCUGAGCCAUCCGCAGACCCCCGAGGUCCCUCCUGGACUGGCUGCCUCUGCUCCAGGCAGAGCCCCCUCUGCUAGGGCUUGUUACCCUUGCUGUCCACUGGAAUCUGCACACAGCCUCAGCCACUGCUUUUGAUUGUUCCAGACAGGGCCUCUCUAUGCAGCCUGGGUGGCCUCAGUCUCCCUUGGCGCUCCUAACACAUCCUCCCAAGGGCUGAGAUCACUGGUGUGCACCAGGUUUGGGCUCCCGGGCUAAACACAUGGAAGUUGUGCCGCACACAGGUGACCAGAGGCGUCCUCCCCAUGUCCUGUCCGUCACCUGGCUCCUCUGCCACCUGUUCCUCCCACCUGAACCUCGUUGGAGACUUUGUGCCUCCCUUGCCCUGGUCACAGCAGCCUUUUCCUCUCUUGCUUCCAUGAGUCCCUUGGUCCCUGUAUUGACUGGUGGGAAGGGUUCCCAUGGCUCACCUGUCACCUGUCGUCCACUUGCAGCUCCCAGUCGCACUGCCUCAGGUGAACCCGGAUCCCUUACCUGCCCAGGAUCCCUGUGCCCGGAGCCAAGCAUUACCCCUCCAGACCUGCAGAAGCAGGUACAUGUACACAGCACGGGCCACUCCCCAGGUCCCCUGCAACAACAACCAGGUGGCCGUGAUGGCCCCCAGCACGCUCAGCGCAUCCCACUUGGACUCCAUUGCACCUCCUGCUCUGCAGCCUGGGACCUUCAGGGUAGGGUUGCUGGGUGCCACAGGUCAGCUAUUGAGGAUCUACUGGACCUUGUGAGCUCUCAACACCAGCCACACCCCGGCAUGUCCCCAUGGCUACCCAAAUUUACCAAAGUCCACCAUCCCCUAGCUCCACCCACUGAGGCUGUGGCUGGGGGCAGGAUUUGCAUCUGGGGGUUUCUCCCCUUUUCUGGGGCUGUUUCCUCCUGUCCCAAACCAGCCUGCUUGCUGUGGGCCCCUGAUUUGGUGUUUUUAUUUGUUUUUGGUGGGUUUUGUUGUUUUCACAAUGGGUCUCCCUGCACACUUCAAGCUGGCAGUCUCAGUCACUUUUCCUGUUGGUGAGACAAAAUACCCCACACAAAAAGUUGAAGCAGGAAAGCUUUAUUGGCUGACACUUAGUGGCUUUUCAGCCCAUGACCAGCUGGCUCCAGGCAGGUGGCCCAGCAGAGGGGCCCCGAAGAGAAGAGAUGGUCCAAGGGAAGAAAAGGACAGCAAAAUGCAAGGGACAGCAGCAGUGAUAACACACAGGCCCCUCCUUCUGUCUGUUGUAUUUUAUCCAGGCUGCCAGGGCCAGCAGUGGACGUAUUAAGGAGGGACACCUCACUCCUACCCAGUACCGUGCCGAGCCCCUCAGUGGACUGGUUUUGUACUCACACACACUUGAUCCCAGCAUCACAAACUCAAGACCUGGUCACCUUUGAAAAGCUCCAUCUGUGACUUGCAUGAGGUUUUUGGGGAACACUGAGACACAAGCUGUACUACUGUCCUUGAGCUAAUUAUGCAGCCCACCUUGACCUGAAAUGCACGACAGUCCUCCUGCCUCAGCCUCUCAAGGGCUGGGAUUACGGGGCUGCACCUGGGAACAUGUGACCACGCCCAGUCCGACUUUCCUUUCCUACCCCAUCCCUGGGAGUGGCCCUUGAAUCCCGAAGGCCUCCUCUACACCACUUUGGGCACACCCCUGUGGCCUUGGUAUAAAUGUAUUCUGAGGUUUAGAAAGUUACUUUGGGUCUCUCCAUGAGAAAAUUUUUCUGGGACUGAGCUGCUGGAGGAGAGGAAAGAUCCUAUUUGUCUCUGGUCAGAGCCUUUGAUGAGGAAAACUUCCAUAGGUGCAAAGAUUUGAGAGCUCCCACCCUAAACAAGUCUCUCUGGUACAGCAGGAAGAUGUACAGGCAGAGCACACAGCACACAGGGGGAGAAAGCAAGGGGCCUGGUGGGAGGGUGCACACCUGCAACCCCAGCUACGCAGGAGGCUGAGGCAGGAGGGCCACAAGUGAAAGUCCUUCCUGGGCAUUUAAUAAGGUCUGAUUUCAAAACAAAAUUUUAAGAGGCUCCGGCUAUGGUUUAGUACUCCUGCUGUUCAACCCCUGGUACUGGAAAAUAAAUUUAAAAACUGCGAGACAUUGGGAACCCGGAACCCAACUCCACAAGGAGAGACAAGCCAGGCAGAAAUCCAUGCUGUUUCUUUCAUUCUUAUUUUCUUCUUCCUUUUUUUGUCCUUCUAUUUUUCUUUUUGAGACAGGGUAUCACUAUGGAGUUCAGCAUGCACUUGAACUCACUGUGGAACCCAGGCUGGUCUCACACUCAUGCAAUCCUCCUGAAUCAGCCUCCUGAGCACUGAGAUUACAGGUGUGAAGCUGGCAUUACUUUGAACAGUUGGUUCUUGUGUGUGAGUAGGACCGUCCUUUCUAGUUUGGUCAGUGUUGUUGUGCUCUGUUCUUAUUUUUAUUUCUUCCUUCUUUUUUUUCUCUUUUGACACAGGAGCUCACCAUGUAGUUCAGAACAGCCUUGAACUCACUAUAUAAUGCAGGCUGGCCUCAAACUGUAGACCUUCCUCCUGCCUCAGCCUCUAAAGUACUUAUUUCUUCCUCACAUGUUCCUCUCCAGGCUUCUUCCCCAAUUUCUCAAAGUUUGCAUCAUCUUCUUUUGUCUUUACUCUUCCAGUGUCUUCCUCCUCUUUUCCCUCCUCCUCCCCUUCCUUCUUCUUCUCCUUCUCCCUUCUUCUCCCUUCUUCUCCUUCUUCUUCUUCUUCUUCUUCUUCUUCUUCUUCUUCUUCUUCUUCUUCUUCUUCUAUCUCCAAUUUUCCUCCUAAACCCUUCUAAAUUUUUUCUCCCUGAGUGUAAAGUAACCACAUUGAGGACAUAUUUGCUGUAUAUAAUUUUCUGGUCUUUUUAUAUUUCAGUAUAUAACCACAAAUCUAGGUAAUUUGAUUAAUGAGUUCAAGUUAAAUCUUGACAUAGUUUAUCAUUUUCUCCACUGUGCUCACUACUAUAUAUUGCCUUUGAUCUCAUGUUUUUCUAUUAAAAUUCAUAACUGCUAUGUGUUAAUAUUCUGCAGGGGCCAGGUGUGAUGGAGCAGCCUGUAAUCUUGGCAAUUAGAGGCUAAGAUAGGAGGGUCCCGGUGAUUUCAAAAACAAGAUAGGCUAUGAAAGUGCAUUUGAGACUUUAUGUCACUAAACAAACAAGCAAGCAAGCGAAUGUUCUACAGUUCAGCUUCUAAUGCAGUCAUUGCUGAUGAAAAAGCAACAGUCACCUGACUCGGCCUCUCUGUGUUGGUGCUGACUCUGCCUGUGCUAUGGAGACUCCACAAGGGAUUAACCGGCCCUGAUUCAUAGUAAAAAGGAGGAGACGCUCUGUCAUGUGUUCCCCAGCACCGUAAUGGAGGGCAGGGCUGAUUUCCUUACAAACUUUCCUCCAGCUCUGACACCCCUCAUCCCUCCUGGUGACCCACUAACAGAGAGCCACUGAGCUCCUCCAACCGAGUCUGUGAAACAGAAAACGGACAACAUGGACCGAUGCUCUAACUUAACGUGAUUGAAUUAAAAUUGUUAAGAUUGUGGUUGAGAAGGCCUCACAGCAGGGCAGGAAAGCAGCUCCCCACUCAGCUGCACAGCGCACAGCACAAGGAUUCUCUGCCCUCUGACACCUGUUUCUCACAAAGAUCAAGUAAGUCACCUGCAGCUCCAAAAUUACAAAGGUCAAAGGACUCUUUGUCUCUCUGAGGUUUCUGCCAUACGUACCUGAAGUACAUGACACGGCUUAUUGGAUUCGCUUUAUCUCACCGGUCUUGGCUAUUACAGGGGAAAGGGCAGGAUCUUCCCAGGAAGUAGGAAGCAUUUCCCGUACAUCAUAGGAUAGGGCUGAAGUAAGCACACAGGAGCAUUAGAUGAGUUUAGUUCAGGAUUAUUUCAAGUGAGAUCUAGAGCUUAAUACAAAAAGACUGAAGGAAGAACACAGAGCCAAUAGUCACUGCCUAAUUUUGGGUUUGCAGCUUAGAGGAUCGGAUGCGUAUCAUUGACCAGAUGUAAGAGAUCAGGAGUGAGAGGCCCUGUUUGAAUCUCAGUGGGUGCAGUGGAAAA